rnacentral:lncRNA from 1 species
UUUUAUUUCAUUAUUUGCUAUUUGGAACUUUGUUAUGAUGAAUUAGUAGUGUUUUACUUAUAUUCUUGGUGAAUUAUGAAUUUAUAAUAUAUAUAAAAUAUAUUUUAAAUAAAAAAAUUAAAACGUAUUUUUGACGUAUCGUAUCUUGAUUUUUGGAAAAAUGACGUAUUUACGUCCCCGUACCGUAUCGUAUCCGUAUUACGUAUCCGUCCCCAUGCUUCUUAGC